UGGGGAAUAUUGGACAAUGGGCGCAAGUCUGAUCCAGCCAUGCCGCGUGAGUGAUGAAGGCCCUAGGGUUGUAAAGCUCUUUCACCGGUGAAGAUAAUGACGGUAACCGGAGAAGAAGCCCCGGCUAACUUCGUGCCAGCAGCCGCGGUAAUACGAAGGGGGCUAGCGUUGUUCGGAUUUACUGGGCGUAAAGCGCACGUAGGCGGACUUUUAAGUCAGGGGUGAAAUCCCGGGGCUCAACCCCGGAACUGCCUUUGAUACUGGAAGUCUUGAGUAUGGUAGAGGUGAGUGGAAUUCCGAGUGUAGAGGUGAAAUUCGUAGAUAUUCGGAGGAACACCAGUGGCGAAGGCGGCUCACUGGACCAUUACUGACGCUGAGGUGCGAAAGCGUGGGGAGCAAACAGG
rnacentral:rRNA from 1 species